GGCGGCUGCUGCUGGAGCAGCGACAAACGCACAAGGAGCAUUUCAGGCGCUGCAAGACCAGGGCAUUGCUCUGCCUGCUCCCGCCGCUGCUGCCUUUGCUCCCGCCCAGAGCCGCUCCCGGCAGCUCCGUUCUCUCGGCGCUGCCGCGUGCUUUCGGACUCUUCCUCACUCAGCAAACACGCAGCUCGCUCUCGGCAUGCACCUCGCAUCUCUCAUCCUCAGCGUCUUGCUGGCCCGGCUCCUGGGCGCCACGGGGCAGGACACGGUCACCCAGGAUAAUGGACCAGUCACGGUGAAGCAGGGACACUCCUUUCACACCACCUGCAAAUACCAGACCAAUACUUUUAAUGCCUCGCACUGGUACCAGCUGCGGAAAGGCCAAGCCCCACAGCUGCUCUCCUAUCAAGCAGGGAGUGGCCCCAAGCACAGCGGCCAGAUCACCACGCACCUGAACACCACGGGCAAAUCCAGUGUCCUGCAGCUGGAGGAAGUGGAGCUCUCUGACACUGCCUGGUACCUCUGUGCUCUGCAAGACACCCUGGUGCAGGGAGCUGCCUCGGCUGUGCAACAAGGCAGGGCAGGGAGGGGAUGUGUCAGGGCAAGGCUGAGCUUGGGGAAGGGACCCUGAUCUCAUCCUGGUGUUCACCAGAAGUUGCAUUCACAUCUGUGUACUAUGAACUGGAGGUUUGGACAGAAUUCAUUCUA